rnacentral:rRNA from 1 species
UACGAAGGGUGCAAGCGUUACUCGGAAUUACUGGGCGUAAAGCGUGCGUAGGUGGUUUGUUAAGUCUGUUGUGAAAGCCCCGGGCUCAACCUGGGAAUGGCAAUGGAUACUGGCAGGCUAGAGUGCGGUAGAGGGUAGUGGAAUUCCCGGUGUAGCGGUGAAAUGCGUAGAGAUCGGGAGGAACACCAGGGGGGAAGGCGGCUACCUGGACCAGCACUGACACUGAAGCACGAAAGCUAGGGGAGCAAACAGA